GAUGAAUGUGUUUGGGUUUUUUUCCUCCCCCCUGUAGAUCUAUUUCAUGUGCUCUACAGAAGUGUGUUUUGAAGCAGAUAGGCCAUGUGAACAACGGUGCUUUGAUGGAAAGGCACCAUAAGGAUGCUGCAGAAGACUUAUGAAGAUAAAGGGGGGGAUGGAAUAAAUGAACCAUUUUAUAACACAG